ensembl:lncRNA
UUGACUGAAGAAAUGCCCAACAGGUCUUUAUAUACAAGGACUCUGAGAGUAAUGCCUCCUACCUUACUUUGUUGGACCACAACAUCAGAGGCGGAUGGUAGUGGUAUGGCUGAACCUUCUCACCAGUACUCCAAGACUUUUUCUUGCAGUGCAACAGAUGGCAUCAGAAAGGCAGUCUGACAAAGCGGUGUCUGACAUGGAAGUGCGAAUGAAGCAAAGUUUACAUGAAAUAAUCCCGUGUAUGACAGAGCAGAAGAAGAAGCAAGACCCUAUAAGGAAGUAUGUGAUCAACUCAGCAGAAAUACAAGCCUCCUUUACAGAAAGGCCACAAUGAGGACUCCCCAUAGCCUUCACUUCUACAAGCUUAAACAAGCCAGCUCCCUCCGCUUUUCUUCAUAGAAGAGAUGCUACAGACCUCCCUCUGAUCAUGGUUAUAGUCUUCAGCUGGACGUACUGCAGUAGCUCUGCACCACACCUGUACUGGGAGCCCCAGCCCUGGAUGCCGUACUUCAGAUAGGUCCUCAUGAAGGCAGAGCAGAGGGAGACAAUCCCAUCCCUCACCCUGCUGGCCACUACUCUUUUGAUGCAGUCUAGGAUGCUGUUGGCCUUCCAG